UGAACUGUUCUACUACUUGACGCAAGUCGAGUAUUUUUACAAACAAUGUGUAAUGAACGUCGUUUUAUUAUAACAAAAUAAAACUUUCAACAACGGAUCUCUUGGCUCUCGCAUCGAUGAAGAACGCAGCGAAUUGCGAUAAGUAAUGUGAAUUGCAGAAUUCAGUGAAUCAUCGAAUCUUUGAACGCAGCUUGCGCUCUCUGGUAUUCCGGAGAGCAUGCCUGUUUCAGUGUCAUGAAAUCUCAACCACUAGGGUUUCCUAAUGGAUUGGAUUUGGGCGUCUGCGAUUUCUGAUCGCUCGCCUUAAAAGAGUUAGCAAGUUUGACAUUAAUGUCUGGUGUAAUAAGUUUCACUGGGUCCAUUGUGUUGAAGCGUGCUUCUAAUCGUCCGCAAGGACAAUUACUUUGACUCUGGCCUGAAAUCAGGUAGGACUACCCGCUGAACUUAAGCAUAUCAAUAAGCGGAGGAAAAGGAUAUUA
rnacentral:rRNA from 1 species